GCUAGCGUUUUCGCUGAAGCAAAAAAAAAAAACCUAGAAUUGGAGGUGGGUCGGGAGACGAGAAUGGAGGCGGUAAAGCGCGGCCGGUGGAUGGAUCGCCUUCUAUUUUUGAUAUGGAUCGUCUCUUUACUCCUCAUCUCUUGUUUCUCUCUCUCACAGUGUGACCGCGGUGUCGUCCGGGGGUUACCCGGGUUGACAGAAGAGAGUGAGCACACAGCGGCGACCGCACCGCCUCGAUGCCGUCGCUGCUGCGUGCUCACUACUCUCUCUGUCAUCUCCACCUCCCCGGCGGUGCGCGGUGGGUGAGUUGGGCAGAUGUAGAUGCUACUCUCCCCUUCGGUUUACUCCCGACUGCGGCUGGGCAAAACCCAACGGGCGAUAGGAAAGAGGCGAGGGUGAGGAUGCUUUCCAUGUAUGGAUUAUUGCAUCGAUGGAGGGGCGGACACGCGUGCGCUGCUCUCUCUCUUACUCAUCUCGUGUCGGCCAUCUGUUCCGCCGAGACGUCUCUUCCCUUGUGGGUUUGUUUCGAGGUGCGGAGAUGUAGCAGCGUAGGGUCUAUCAUUUCAUGGCAGUAGUUUGUUCCGCUCUCCUCCCGAUUUCAUCUUUGAUGCGCCGAAAAAAUUGGAGUGGCAACUCGACGAAUCGAGAGGGUGAAGAAAUCAGAUAACAAAAGAAAAUAAAAGAGAAGGGGGGGUUAGGGAAAUAACAGGAUAACUACUGCGUGACUUUUGAGGCGCAGUUGUUCAUCCGGCAGCGAGAUAGGAUGAGGGCAGGGUUACACGUCUUGUUCCUGUCUGUAUCUUCCUCUUCCUCUUGUGCUGCUGGACGGUCUUCUUCUUCUUCGAUCCGUCCUCUCCUCCUCCUCCUCCUCCUCACUUUUUUCUUAUAGUUUGCUCUCCAUAUCGUCAAGGAGCUGAUCUUGGAUGAUGUUUCUUGGAUGAGAAAUCGCUUCCUUUCGCCAUUAUUCGUUGCUUCGCGCAUGCUAUCGGAUUUGUUGGAUCAGUAAUUCGGACUUCGUUCUGUGUUCGCCGUUCUUAAUCAUUUCUUAGAGGUAAAACACGCUCAGGUUCUCGACAAGGAGGCUUUUAUUCCUUGUCACCGAUAGUUACUGGCAUUUGAGUAAUUUAUGCUCUUUCCCGAUUAAGCAGUGCAUGUAUGGACAUUGUGUGUCGAUUGAUUGAUGUAUGUUAGACAUUUAAAUUCACGACUUCUGUAAUAGCGGUGUAAAACGUUCUUGUUAUGAGAUUGAUUGCAUAUGAUUUAAGAAGAAAGAUCUUGGACUUGCGUUUUCUUUCGUAUGAGUUCUAAUAAGUACCGAGGACUAGCCACUUAUUUGAUAUCGUUUCCUGAAUCUUGUUGACAAAUAUGAAUUGUUAGGUAUUACAAAGAGAUCGACACUCGGUCUUGUUUAUUAUGUGGAAAAUUCAACUUUGCUGUCUGAGUAUUGGAUAUUAUGGUGGGAUGGCAUGCUGUCUCGUUCAAUGACCGUGUGGAGUAAUCAAAGAUUUAGUUGAUUUUUGUUUUCGGUUAAGAUGAUUCUAGAAGAGACAUUGUGUUUCUGAGAUUAUGAGAAUACAACGCAUCACUGCUUUUUUCUUUAGCCCACCUUGGAAAUUUAGCUAUCUUAACCCCUUUUUUAUGUUUUUGUUGAGACAAAGAACAGCACUAUAAUUCUUAAAGAGAGUCAGAACUAAGCAAAUCCUUGUUGUCUACAUGGAAGAUGCAAGUACAGUAUCUUAGACUGAUUUGUGCAACAUAAUGUGAAAGUAGAUUAUAACCAUGAUGAAUUGGCAAGGAAUCAAGAGGGAAAAUUUUGUUGGUUCUAAUUUCCCUUUUUUUUAUUGUGCGAUAGGAAAUAAUGUGGUCGUUCCCAGUUGAAAUAAUGACAUGGGUACGUCUUUAAGCUUUCUCUGUCCGAAGACAAAUGAAUCCAGGAGAUCAAGCCUGGAACGUUAUUUUGUGUAAAUUAUGGUAAGAGCUUUGACGAUGGAAGAUGGUAUCUAAGCUAGAAGUCUUUUUCUUGGCUUAAAUUCAUAAUGAAGGCUUCAACAUGGUGACAAGCACCACUUUGCUUUGACAUUUUGACCCAAGCCAUUCCCUUUUUCGUUCUUCCUUAGCCAUUAAUACCAUCUCCCCGUGGGGAAAAAAAUUCUACAAUGUUUAUUUCUAUCAGAGAAUCAUUUAUCAUGUCAUGUUUAUUGUGCCUUUAGUUUGUUUUGUGGAUUUAGUGACCAUAUACGCGUCACAUCCUAUCCUUCACUUUGUCAGUAAUACCAGAAGGUACAUAACUCCUCUCUGAACUAAGAAUAAUUGAAUGGCUCUGCUACAAGGAGAAAAACAAAGUGCAUCUUGCUGUCAUGCUGAGCCCCAAUACAAGAUUUAGAAGAGUGGUCUAGAGUGGCUCCAGUUAACUUAGUAAGAUCACUAUACUUUCCUGACGUUGUGUUCUUUCAUUUUGAAAUAGUGUUCCAUGUUUAAUUAUCUUAUUUUUGUUCUUAAUAAACUUUAGGCAGUUGCUCCAUUGAUUUUGCUGGAUGAUCUUAGUUGUUAUUUGUGAAUCUUCUGCUUAAACCAUAGCAUCUUAUCUCCGCUUUGUCCAAUUUGCUUUGGGUUCAGCUAACUCUUACUAGUUUUUUUUUCUUUUUUGUCAGCAAUGACCCCUAUCCGGUUCGUGCGUCGUACAUGGGUCAGGAAAGCUUCUGUAACGUAGAGUUUUUUACUGUUAGGAUAAUGGGACAUCGGCAUAUUUAUGAUUCAUAGAGUACUCUUCAUUUAAUAUGGUUACAUUGCAAAUAAAAAUAUUCUAUUGAUGCCAGAUUCAGUAGGGAUCUAAGUACUAUAUAGAAUGUCACCUAUACUCUUUUGGGUGUGCUUUGUUUAAGGUGAUGUUUUUUAUUGUCGAGUUGAAACACAUGGAAAAACUAAUAAACAUGUACUUAAUAGUAUAUUUCUGUAUUCUGUUAAUUAUCUGGCUUUAGGGUGGCAUCCUCUUUGUCAACCUACUUUAUAUUUAAUCUUCUCUUUUGCUACCUGAGGUCUAUGGGCUGGUAUGGAGACAAAUACUAUUCUUCUGGAUAACUCGGGAGAUUAGUAAUGUUUUUCCAAGUACCUUUGCUGGAUAAAAAAUCUAUAGGAACCUGUGUUGUCAUAUUGAUUCAUAUUGACCUUUGAUCCGUUGGACCAUCCCAAGUAGGCUUUCUUUUGAAUCUUUUCAUCUGUUCACUGAUGGUGUGAUAUCCCUGACUAAUGUUCUUUGGCAAGGAGGAGUGGAAGACCCCAGGUUAUUUCAUGAGUGUGGAAAUACAACAUGGAGGGGGGAGGGAGAGAAUGACAUACAUACAUACAAUGGCAUGUUGCAGUAUAAGCAGGCAAGCAAGCAGAAGAGAAGACACCAUUUAAUGGGCAUACUUAAACAAGUCCCAGCAAACCUUAGAAUAAGUUCUAGCAUGUCCAACACCUUGUUCAGAAAAUUUAAUGGGAUAUUAUGAUGGCCUUUGGUAGAUAAUCCCUAGCCAUGAAUUCCAAAUCUAGAACUGGUAAACAAUCCAUAGCAAUCUUCACCAGCUCAAAUCUCCUACACUUGGUGACUAGGAUUGACCUGUGAUUCUUUCUUGGUUGACUCUGGUUGACAGUUUGUUUUAAUGUAUAAUAUGCAAAAAAGGCUUGAUCUUGAGAAGCAAAGAUUUGUGUUAACAUGUCCUCUUCUCUUAAACACUCAUAGGAUUAGUUACAAUAAAAUUUUCUGUCAGCUGUGUCAUUCUUUGUCAUCGGAGAAGGAUGAAUCUUAUUUAAUUGUUCGAAAACACGAUGAACACUGAAAUUUUUUGUUGUUGGAUAUCCAACAAAAUGAACUUAGAGAUCUUUGGAACAUGCUUCACAAAUAAGUUGUAUGGACCUUUCAAAUUUAUGCUUCACAAAUUUGUUGGAAUGGAUUUGUCUUUUAGUAAGUUACAUUAAGUUGUAGGAUCAGAAAUUUAGCUAAAACCUAAAGCGAUCUUUGUUUAUUACAAGUCAAAUUAAGGUGCAUGCAUGUUAGUGUUUCAAGGAAGGUGUGAGCGACCCAGAUACAUAGAGAAGAGCAUAAGUUUUGAUGCUUAAAUAGAUUAACUCUAUAAGGUGAAUAUAGCAAAACGUGAUAAUUUGAUCGAUAAAUGUACUACCAUGUCCAUAUAUUCUGUAAAACACUUCCUGAGUACAAGAAACCCAUCAAUUUUGAAGGAGAGUAUGAAACACAUGCUCAAGAUAGAUGCCCUAGGAAGAGAUGUAACUAGCAAUAUGUUUGAAAGGAUUUCAAAGACCCAAAAGUUGAAAUAUGUGACAUAUGUGGCUGCUGAUUUACAUAGGUUGGUGAACAGAAGAUUCAAAACUGGUUCUGGAAUGGGAGGGUGCAGAUGGCCGUAAAUAUUUGGUUUAGGGAAGUGAACAUCCCCCCCUCUAAAAAAACGAGAAUUGAUAAAUAAUAUUGUGAUGUCCAUAAAUUUUGUUAAUCACUUUUGAAGUAUUAGACACACUGGAAUGAUAAAAGAUGAAACUACACAAAAUAAGAUCAAUAUGUGAAUAAAUGUCAAAUUUUGUAUGUUUAAAAUGAAUAUGUGAAUAAACUAAUUAACAUUUUUUUUAUGAAGUAUCCAAUGGGUGUCUUAAGUAGGUUUUUUGAUGACAUAGUUUGGAUGUUUAUGUUCAUCUGCAAGAUCAACAUAGAUGCAAAUAGUCUCUUUGUUGAGCAAAGACAUUUCUUUUCCUUCCAUAUAGAGGAUGCUGGUAAGAAGAAGACUAAACUUUAACUCCAAGUAACUUAUAAAUACUUGAGCUCUGUUUCCCUCUUUUCUGCCCCUUGUAACUAAAUUUAAAUUAUUGUUUUCUCUAUUUGAGCAAUAUGAAUUGCUCGGUUAAUCUAUUUGAGCAACAUGACUAAACUUAUUAUCAUACCUCAACUUAUGCUUUUUCUGAAUGUGAAUCUUUGAUGUAUACACUUAAUUUCCAUUUUUAAUUUUCAAUUAAUGAAUAGGAGUUUGAUGUUCUCUAUGUUAUGAAUUGGAGGCCUAAUUUUUAACUAUUCUAGAUUAAACGUAUGGAUAUGUUAGGUAUCAACUUCCACAUGGUAUAUAUGAAACAGAAAUUUGAUUGCAAUCUAAAAGAGUCUACUGGACUGUCACGGCCUUAGCUGGAAUUGCUUAAGGCGUGAGGCACCCUUGCAGCCAAAGACGCAAACUUAGCUUGCGUCGCCUAAGUCGCGGGUCACCCUUGCGGCAAAGACGCGAACUUAGCUUGCGUUGCCUAAGUCGCGCUUUGCCCUUACAAUAUUGCUCCGCAAGGAUCAGCCAACUUGUAACCUCUCGCAGGUCCCGAAGGACCUGUAAAAAGAGAAAGUUGAUUAGUUCGAAAGAACGAGCGGUGGACAAGUCCCGACGUCUCGUGAAAAGGGUAAGCUUUAUAAGCAAUUCAGCGAGUACCUUGCGUGCACAAGAGAAAAGAGGGAGAGGGGGAAAACAAGGCUUUAGAAGGUUGAACGAACAGUUGCAAGCCCACAAACAGCCACUCACCUGGUCCCGGGCGGGACAACAAGUUCCUGUCAAGGCAACGUGCGAACUUGCGAAAGAGUGUUCAACGCCCGGUAUAUAACCGAAGCCCCAUCCAGCCCUGGGCCACCCGGGGUUCAAGAGGGCUGAGAUGGCUGACGUUUUGGUGAGCGGAGGCAGAUUCCAAAAAUCAGCCCACGGCAUGUGAAAACGGAGCUGUUUUGGGUUGUUUUGGGGUUGUUUUACUCGGUUCGGUGAGCGGUCACUUUGUAACGCUGCAGCUUGUUCGAACUUACAUUUUUACAAGCAAAAUGAUCCAAAACCAAGAGAAAACAUGUUGUCAAGCAGCUGUACAAGUAGGUGUGAGCGACGAACGGUUCGUUGAAUGGAGUUGUUGCGAGUGCGCGAUGACCGUUCGUGACAGGACGGUCUUGUAUAGUUAGCUGGUCUAAACAGAAAAGCAUUCUUAUGAAAAGAGAAGUAUGUUGCAGCUUUCGUGUUCAUCCUUCUAUUUACUCGCGCGGUAGUUAGAUCUUUCUCCUAACUCCACAUAUUUCAUUUUAUGUUUUAUGUUUACCAAGCUGUUAGAUUUUUUUUUUUUGUUUAUCUAUGUAAUAUAUGGUGAUGGGGAGUAUAGGUUCGUUUUCGAUGUAUUAGUUGUAGUACUGUGUUGUUAGACUUGUAUAAGGACAGGAUACACUUCUAGCAUCAAACAAGGUUUAGGGCUGAGCAACAUCAUAGUACUCUUUUUAAUUACAUUUUAUGAUCAUGUGAACUCCCUGAUUUUUAGUAAUAGCAAUAUUAGAAGAACAUGAGAGUUACUAUGAUCACUACAUGAGCAUUUCUAUUAAUCUCCGGAUUGAUUUUGUGGCGCAAAAAAACUGACUACUUAAUAGUUCUUUUUAGGUAACUGUUAUAUUUUGGUAAUGUAGUAUUUAACAAAUGUAAACAGUCAGUAAGUAGAAGCUGGACAAAAUAACCUAUGGUCCAUUUGAUCAAAGUAGUGAUUUCAAUAGGCACUCGGGCUAAGCGAGGUGAGGCUCGAGCGUCUCGCUUCAUUUCCAGAUGGUGUGCUUCAAAGAAGCGCCACUUGGGCGCUCGCUCAAGCCUAGGUGUCGGGCACUUUGAGCGAGCGCCCGAGUUAAAUCAGACGAUCGAACCAACGUUUUAGGUCUGGUUUGAUCUCCAGUGCUUUAAUUGGUUCAAUCGAACCAACUAAAACACCGAUAUCAGCUUUCCUCUCGUGACUUCUCCAACCCUAACCUUGCUCGUGAUUUUACCGUCGAGAUUUCUUCUCCGUUGUCGCUGCUCGUCGUUGCUGUCACUGCUCGCCGUUGUUGUCAUUGCUCAUCGCUGUUGUCACUACUCGUUGCUACCGAUCCCACUAUCGCCGCUCACUACUCCCACUGCUGAUAUCGCUCAUCGCUCCCACUGCCAUUGCUCCCGCUCCUGUUGUCAUUGUCGUCGCUCCCACUAUCGCUAGUGUUGCUCUUAGUCAAUAGCCUCGGUCUUCCUCUUUGUCACAUUUUUCUCACUUCGAUAAUAUAUUAUUAACAAUAUUUUAACAAUAUACUACUAACUAUAUACUAGUAAUAAUAUUUUUAUUUAUUAAAUUAAUAAUAUAUUAUUUUAAUUUUGAUACUGUUAAUUUUUAUUUAUUUGAAAUUAUUGUUAUGUUUCAGGAUAAAUGACAAGUGUAUAGAGCAACUUAAUAGAUUCUUCAAUGACAUUAAAAUAAAAUUCUGCAUGGAAGUAUAACUAUCUAAAGGAUCCAAAAGAUCCUAAUGUAGUGAUUUGUAUGUUCUACGAUAAAACUAUUAGAGGCGGUAUUUUUUGUGCAAAACAAAAUCUAGUAUGAAAUUUAAAAAAUGCAGUAGCUUGUAAAAAGUGUCCACUUGAGGUAAAAGAAGAGUUGUUGAGUUAUAUGAAUGAAAAAAGUUAUAUGAAUGAAAAAAAAAAGAUGUGAAAGAAUGAAUGUUACGGAAAUUUACCAGAAGAUAAUGUUAAAUAUCUCAGAGAUGAAAAAGAAGAUUAUUCUAUGAGUAUUAACCCAAGUGGGAAAAAAAUAUACAACAAAAAAGGAAAAUAAGUUAUGAGUACUAAGAAGGGUAUAAAACGAUCGAUAGAUCUAUAUUUGUUUCAAGGAUCACAGAAGCAACAAGAGUAAACAAGAGGUUCAAAUUUUAGACAAACAAAUAUAGGUGAUGCUUGUGAUAAAGAAAUAAGAGGAAGAACAAUUCAGCACAUUACUCACUUCUUCUAUCAAGCUAAUCUUCCCCUUAAUACAACUCGUUUAGACAGUUUUAAGGAAAUAAUUGAGGCUUUUGGAAGAUAAGGUACGUGAUUAAAACCUCAAGCUAUUAUGAGAUACGAGUUUCACUAUUGCAAAAGAAGUUGAAUUAUACAAAUGAUUUACUAAAGAGUCAUAAUGAAUCAUGGGCAAUACAUGGUUACUCUAUUAUAUUAGAUGCUUGGAUUGAAAGGAGACUUGGUAGUAUAAUUAAUUUUAUGGUUAACUAUUCUUUGGGGAUUAUAUUUGUGAAAAUGCUUCAUCUUUUGUAAAAUCUAGAGACAAGAUAUUUAAUUUACUUGACAAGUUUAUGAAAGAAAUUGGAGAACAAAAUAUCUUUCAAGUCAUAACCGAUAAUAGAAGCAACUAUGUAUUAGUUGGUAAUAUUUAUCUUUUAAUAUUUUUUUUAUUUUUUUAAUUAUUUUAUCUUCAAUUAAAUGUGUUAAAAUCUUAAGUCUUAUCAUUUUUGUUAUUAUUUGUCUUUGGUAAAUUACUUGAAACAAAAAGAAAGCAUUUAUAUUAGACUCUCUAUAUAUUAUAUUGAUUUAAUACUAGAGGAUAUUGGAAAGAUCUCAUACAUCAAGAAAAUUUUAGAAAGGAUAAUUUUUGUUGUUGGAUUUCUUUAUAAUUAUAUUGAGACUUUGAAUAUGAUGGAAGAAUUCACAAACAAUAAAGAAUUAAUGAGAUAUGGUAUCACCCGAUUUGUUACUUCAUUCUUGACAUUAUAAAGUGUGCAUCGUCAAAAACAUAAUAUGAGAAACAUAUUUACCUUUGAGAAAUAGGGGAUAAGUAGAUGAGCAAAAGAAGCAAAAGGCAAGAGGGCUAUUGAUAUCAUCUUAAUACUAUCCUUUUGAAAUCAUAUAAUUUAUAUAUUAAAAGUAAUGGACCCUCUUAUUCGAGUUUUUUGGUUGGUGGAUAAUGAAAAUAAGUAUGCAAUAUGAUAUAUUUAUGAGACUAUGGAUUGAGCAAAAGAGACGAUUAAAAGGUUUUUUAAUGAAAAUGAAGAAAAAUAUGAGAAAAUUUUUACAAUCAUUAACAGAAUUCUCAACUUCAUCGUCCUAGUAGAAUAUUAUUUGAAUACUAAAUUCUUUUAUAAGAUUAAAUUUGUUGGGUUUGAUGUAGAAGUUUUGGAUGGGUUAUAUUAGUACGUUACAAGAUUAGUUCCAAGCCUUGAGGUACAAGAUAAGAUUAUUUAUGAAUUAUCUCUAUAUAAAAAUGUUGAAGGUCUUUUUGGAAUUCUUUGAUCCAAGACAACUACGUCUCAAAGUAUUAAUUAUUAAUUAUCUCUAUAUUAACUGAAUGAUGAAAUCUAUUUGAAAAUUUCACCCCAAACUUGCAAUAAUUUGCUAUCAAAGUACUUAGUUUGAUUGUGGUGCUUCGAGUUAUGAGUGAAACUAGAGUGUCUUUGAGCAUGUAAGCAUCACUAAAUAUUUUUAUUUUAAUUAAUUAAUUUAUUUAGAUAGAUAUAUUAAUAUAUUUUUAAAUUAUAUGACAUGACAUAUUCAUUCACGGAGAAAAAAUCGGUUGGAACAUCAACGAUUAUAUGAUCUUGUUUAUAUAAAGUAUAAACAAGCUUUGAAUGCUUGUCAUGAUUUACGAAAUAGAAUUGAUCCAAUCUUAUUACAAGAUAUUGAUGAUUUAAAUAAGUGAUUGGUAGGAGAAAUGAGUGCCAACUUGCAAGAUGCUGAAGACGAGCUUGUAUUUGAAUAUGAUAGAUUGACAUGACGAGAUGUGACAAGAGUUUCAGAUGUUGAAGAAUUAUAAACAUACGUAAGACAGAUAACAAAAAAAAAAAAAAUGAGUGCAAAAGCAUUAAACUCAGCUCAUAUAAAUAAUGAAACAUAUUUUAAUGAAGAGAAAAGAUAAGAGGAAGAUGACAAAUUCAAUGAAGAUGAUUUGUAUGAAAAUGAUAAUAAUAUUUAUUAUGAUAAAUGACUUUGAUGUAAAAUUUUAUUAUUUUGAAUUUUGAGACUUUUUUUUUGUUAAUGUGACAUUACGAUGUUGUACCUUGGAUCUUCUUAAUUUAAUAAUAUAUUUUUAUUUAAAUAAUUAUAUUUAUUAAUUUAUUUUUAUAUUUUUAUAUUUUAACAUCUUGUUUCGCUCGGGCGAGCGUCUAGCGUCUCGAGUAUUUUUAGACCUUGACGUCUUUAUGAAAUUUCAUACUUAAAAGCUCUUUUAAAGCAUCUAGUGGGUAGAUGGUAUUUUGGAACAAUAUUUACUUGUCCCAACAGUUUCAGAAUUUUUGAAUUAAUCCAUGUUCUAAAACUCAUGCUUAGUCGAGUACCGAUAACAUUUAGACAUUAUGAAGGAAUAGCAUAGCACGACACUCUUUUUUAUACUUAUGUUGUCAAUAGCGAGAUCUUUUUGGACUCUAGGCUCUAGCUUCACUAUCGUGUGCUUGGCAAACGAGUUGGUAAGUCAAUCUAAUGAUUUCUUCCUAGGCUCUAGUGACUGACGUCUUGCUUUCUUCUCUUUUACAUGUUGUUGUGACUCGAAUUUGCAUUUUCUAUGGGGGCCUCUCUAAUCGAUUACUUUCUCUUUCACUUUUUUUGUUUUAAUUCAUUCAUGAUUUUCGUUUGAGUUGUCGAAUCACUUUGUUUGUUCUAGUAAAAUUGUAUACUUCCAGCAUUGAUAGAUCAGAGAAAACUGGUUCCUUAAAUCUCAAUUUGAACAGCACUGGAAAACCAAGUGUCUCAUUGAGUUCUUUUAUGAAUUUAUUUUUUCCUAAUUUACCGGUUCUCUAAGUAACAAAUAAAAUUACUCCAGUGCUUUGACAAACCCUUCAUAGUGUCUAAUUUAGUUUGUUGCAUAGAAAUUUCAUUAGUCAAAGGGGCAGUAUUUUUCAGCAGGCUUUUCUUUCAAGAAAUCCCACUGAGAACCCCCUUUUCCUUUGAGGUUCUUUAAUUUCGACCAGAAAAUUUAUAACUCAAUGUCUGUACGUAAUAUAUUACUCUCUUAUUAUCUAAUCAUCCAUCAUCUCUUUUCAUUUCAGUUUUGUUGACCAAACAGAUAUAUAAUGUCCUCUGGAAUGCUAUAUCUUAUUGAUUAAUGGCUUUCUCGAAUUAAUGACUAACACAAGUACAUCUCUACUGGCUUUCAGAACCGACGCACAUGACAAUUGAAGGGUCUCUAUUUUCGUCUUGCUUUUCUUUGAUAUUUGAAAGGAGAUUCUCCAAAAUUUUUCAAAUAGCAAAUAGUAAAUGUACUGCAAUUAGCACAGCAAGAAUGACAAACCACAUAUCUUUUGUUUAUGAUUUCUAACCAAAUCUACUUCAGGUUUCAUUGCCCCACCUAGUGUGGACUCGCCGUGCCUCACAGGAGCAUUUGCAGGAGGAAUCUCUCCUCUUUCUAGAGGAAAAAAGGUAAAAGAAGUUGUUGGAGAACAGCCUGAGUUGCACUUGAGCUGCUGGAAGUAGCUGAGCCGGCUUAAGUUAGGAGUUGCAUACCAUCCGCCACUUCUAAGCAACAGUCUGCUGUCAAAGAUUUUUGAUUUUGAUGGUAUCCGACCAUCCGCCUUCUCUCAGGAGCUUCGAAGUAGCUGGAAAGAAGGGAACGAGAUUGACAGAAUGGCUUUAAAGCAGGAAAAAGGUUUCGAAGAUGAGUACUUUUUGGUGGGAUUUUGGUUCCCAUUUUCUCACUUGUCGAUCCGUAUUUUGGCUCGAGCAGAGAGAACUCAAUGGUUGACAUUUCUGCUGCAAUUGCAUCCACUGGGCAAUGAAGGCACUGUUCAAGAACCUUCUCCGAGGCACAUGUCUUUUGGUGGCCAAUCCUUCGGAAGUGACCUUCCUAAGCCUGUCAAUGGAUCCGAUCUAACAUGAUCUGAGUUUAGAUUUAGAUCCAAUUUUCCAUAUUAAACAGGCAAUAACCACAGGGAGUUGUUCAACCUCCUGAAGACAUCAUGAGCUUUAGCCAUGCCUUGAGUCUGUUCUCUCUGCUGUGUCAUCAGUUUUGAUAGCUCAUACACCUCGAGGCCAAGGAAAUAAAUCUUCUUCCCAGACACGUCGCAAGAUUGUGUCACGGUGCCAUGUAAAAAUCUUAAUUUUCGGUGGAAGGUGGAGACUUCAUGUCCAUUUGUGAACCUGUUUGAACUGUAUGAUCUUGAUGGCCACCCACGGCAGAUUUCCCCUUGCUAUGGAGUCAAUGUGCUCUUGUUUAUUAUCAUUUGAUCCCUGAGAUCUGACGUCGAGAUGGAGAUAUAUGAACCCGCCUAGCCUUCGGAGAUUGAUAGGAAAUCUAGAAGGGCUGCAGAGGAUUUGCAUCUCACCAAGAAGGCAUCUCGACGGGCAGCAUUUUUUAUUAUGGAAGAUGUUUGAAGCUCACCCACCCAAGAUCACAGGCCGCUUUCCCAUCUGGAGCAGGAGGAGAUCAUAGCUUCUGGUAUUGAGGUGGCAUGACCGGGAGAUGGCCCUUCUCCUGGAGGCUCUUCACGGUGUCGUACAGGCUCUGGCUCACCGGCUUACACUGCAGGCCGAGGUCCCUGAGCUGCUGGUCAGAGAAAUUGUACGGCUUCUUCCGUGGAUUCACCUCGUCGGAGCACCUGCCGCCGCCACCAUCAUCAUCCCAAGGAUGCAUCAGUAUUCCGCUUCGUGUUGUACCAUGUAUGUAUUACUGUAUGUUUCUGAAGUAUUAUUAAUAUGAGAGCUUCGAGCCUCCCUUCCACGC